rnacentral:tRNA from 1 species
GGGGGCGUAGCUCAUUGGUAGAGCACUUGCCUAGCAUGUGUGAGGUCCUAGGCUCCAUUCUUAGCACCACCA